rnacentral:rRNA from 1 species
ACAGUCACACAUUAGAUACCCGGGUAGUCCUAGCCGUAAACGAUACUCGCUAGGUGUCGGCCACGGUGCGACCGUUGUCGGUGCCGUAGGGAAGCCGUGAAGCGAGCCACCUGGGAAGUACGGCCGCAAGGCUGAAACUUAAAGGAAUUGGCGGGGGAGCACAACAACGGGUGGAGCUUGCGGUUUAAUUGGAUUCAACGCCGGAAAUCUUACCGGGACCGACAGCAACAUGAAGGCCAAGCCGAAGACUUUGCCGGAUUAGCUG